AGUGAACGCUGGCGGUAGGCCUAACACAUGCAAGUCGAACGGCAGCACAGUAAGAGCUUGCUCUUACGGGUGGCGAGUGGCGGACGGGUGAGGAAUACAUCGGAAUCUACUUUUUCGUGGGGGAUAACGUAGGGAAACUUACGCUAAUACCGCAUACGACCUACGGGUGAAAGCAGGGGAUCUUCGGACCUUGCGCGAUUGAAUGAGCCGAUGUUGGAGUAGCUAGUUGGCGGGGUAAAGGCCCACCAAGGCGACGAUCCGUAGCUGGUCUGAGAGGAUGAACAGCCACACUGGAACUGAGACACGGUCCAGACUCCUACGGGAGGCAGCAGUGGGGAAUAUUGGACAAUGGGCGCAAGCCUGAUCCAGCCAUACCGCGUGGGUGAAGAAGGCCUUCGGGUUGUAAAGCCCUUUUGUUGGGAAAGAAAAGCAGCAGGUUAAUACCCCGCUGUUCUGACGGUACCCAAAGAAUAAGCACCGGCUAACUUCGUG
rnacentral:rRNA from 1 species